rnacentral:piRNA from 1 species
UUGGUCAAGGAGCCUCUCAAUAGUUCA